rfam:Ixodes scapularis strain Wikel colony gcontig_1108379050304, whole genome shotgun sequence.
GCAGUCGUGGCCGAGUGGUCAAGGCGAUGGACUAGAAAUCUAAUGGGGACCCCGCACAGGUUCGAAUCCUGUCGACUGCG